rnacentral:rRNA from 2 species
CUCUGGUAUUGAUUGGUGCUUGCAUCAUGAUUUACAUUUGAGUGAGUGGCGAACUGGUGAGUAACACGUGGGAAACCUGCCCAGAAGCGGGGGAUAACACCUGGAAACAGAUGCUAAUACCGCAUAACAACUUGGACCGCAUGGUCCGAGCUUGAAAGAUGGCUUCGGCUAUCACUUUUGGAUGGUCCCGCGGCGUAUUAGCUAGAUGGUGGGGUAACGGCUCACCAUGGCAAUGAUACGUAGCCGACCUGAGAGGGUAAUCGGCCACAUUGGGACUGAGACACGGCCCAAACUCCUACGGGAGGCAGCAGUAGGGAAUCUUCCACAAUGGACGAAAGUCUGAUGGAGCAACGCCGCGUGAGUGAAGAAGGGUUUCGGCUCGUAAAACUCUGUUGUUAAAGAAGAACAUAUCUGAGAGUAACUGUUCAGGUAUUGACGGUAUUUAACCAGAAAGCCACGGCUAACUACGUGCCAGCAGCCGCGGUAAUACGUAGGUGGCAAGCGUUGUCCGGAUUUAUUGGGCGUAAAGCGAGCGCAGGCGGUUUUUUAAGUCUGAUGUGAAAGCCUUCGGCUCAACCGAAGAAGUGCAUCGGAAACUGGGAAACUUGAGUGCAGAAGAGGACAGUGGAACUCCAUGUGUAGCGGUGAAAUGCGUAGAUAUAUGGAAGAACACCAGUGGCGAAGGCGGCUGUCUGGUCUGUAACUGACGCUGAGGCUCGAAAGUAUGGGUAGCAAACAGGAUUAGAUACCCUGGUAGUCCAUACCGUAAACGAUGAAUGCUAAGUGUUGGAGGGUUUCCGCCCUUCAGUGCUGCAGCUAACGCAUUAAGCAUUCCGCCUGGGGAGUACGGCCGCAAGGCUGAAACUCAAAGGAAUUGACGGGGGCCCGCACAAGCGGUGGAGCAUGUGGUUUAAUUCGAAGCUACGCGAAGAACCUUACCAGGUCUUGACAUACUAUGCAAAUCUAAGAGAUUAGACGUUCCCUUCGGGGACAUGGAUACAGGUGGUGCAUGGUUGUCGUCAGCUCGUGUCGUGAGAUGUUGGGUUAAGUCCCGCAACGAGCGCAACCCUUAUUAUCAGUUGCCAGCAUUAAGUUGGGCACUCUGGUGAGACUGCCGGUGACAAACCGGAGGAAGGUGGGGAUGACGUCAAAUCAUCAUGCCCCUUAUGACCUGGGCUACACACGUGCUACAAUGGAUGGUACAACGAGUUGCGAACUCGCGAGAGUAAGCUAAUCUCUUAAAGCCAUUCUCAGUUCGGAUUGUAGGCUGCAACUCGCCUACAUGAAGUCGGAAUCGCUAGUAAUCGCGGAUCAGCAUGCCGCGGUGAAUACGUUCCCGGGCCUUGUACACACCGCCCGUCACACCAUGAGAGUUUGUAACACCCAAAGUCGGUGGGGUAA